rnacentral:lncRNA from 1 species
UCUGUUCCAAUAUUUGGACUUUGACCUCAGUUCCUGACACAGAUCUCCUAAAUCCUUGGCAAUUUCCUGGAUGAUAGGAUCAUCUUUUGUUCUAAUGAAGCAACUCUUGGUGGGCUCACAGAGAGUCUCAAGACAGGAGCUGGUUGCCAAGGAAACCAACCAUGCAAUAAGAGGAUUAGAAUAUUCAGCCCCACCCCAUGACUUCCAGAGACAGAGGAAAGGCUGAAGGUUGAGUUGAUUACCAGUAGCUCACGAUAUAAUCAUUCAUGCCUACAUAACACAGCUUUCAUAAGAACCCAAUAGGACAGGGUUCAAGGACCCUCUAAAGAAUGCCACACCUAUAGAGGCAUGGAAACUCUUUGCCACUUUCAUCUGACUAUUGAUCUAUAUCCUUUGUAAUGCCUCUUAUAAGAAAUGGGCAGAUUCUAGCAGUGUUUGUGAGAAAAACUGAUGGAUCCUGCAGAUUAACUAUGGACAGCCAAAUAUUGAGUAAAGUGAUGUCUACAACAGCAUCAGCUAUGCCUGAUAUGGUGUUAAUUCACAUUGUGAAGUUCCAAAAUCAGAAGAUGAUACAGAAAGAUUGCUCUGGUUGCCUGGUUUCUGAAGAAAUCGUGUACCCUGUCUGGAUAGUGUCUUACUUCCUAUCCACAAAGUUGUGAAAUAAUCUGGAAUUAAAUGGCAACCUAAACAACCCUAGAGUUGCCUGAACACAGAGCCAUUGCUGUGUUGAUCAUUAUAGCAGUCCUCAAUAGGAAAAAGAUGCCUCCCUGGUCGACCUUCCUGGAAAGUAUGCAUAUCAUUACUGCUUAGAUUUUGUUGGAGAGAAAUCACACUACCAUCAAAGACAACGGGUCAAAAAGAAUGCCGUCCUAAGCUGAGAAGCCAUCUUCCUAACGACAGCCAUGUAAUAUGAAAGGGAAAAACACACUGUUAUUGAAGAACUUAUCAGCUAUGUCACAUCUUCCACACAAAUACUCAGGAUUGCUAAAGUCCUAUUGCAUGCUUUAAGAUGCCUUGCGUUUGGUGAAUUGAAGCCUGAUAUGUCAACAUACUCUCUGUAAACACAGCAGCACAGAGGGCAAAGAAACACUUAUCCAGCACCACAGCUAGGACAAAAGGAAUUAUUUUGACAGUAAAUGGACUUGCAGCUUAAGUUAAGUGCAUUAAUAUUGGGAUGGUAUUAACUAUACAAAAUUGUUUCUAAGCAAAGGUGACCAGAUGUCCUAAUUUGACUGAUUGAUUUGUUUGCUUAGUUAAAUACCCUUGUAAUUUGAUUGUUUAUAGAUGUUUGCCUACUCUUAUUUUUAUCAAUCUGCUAAGUGCUAUGCAUAGAAAAGUAUAUAUUUGAAAUUAACUAUUUUUCAUUACAAUAUUCUAGCUUAUGUGCUUAUUUUUCAUAAACUAUUUAUCUAGUAAUCACCAUGAAAUCAAAUGGUUAUUUGUAGUGGGAUGGUUCUAAAAAUAUUAAUGUGAUAUUUUAUUUCUGAUAGUAUUUAAUAAGACAAGUCCUAAAUUUAAAACCAUGUAUUUCUUUAUAGACAAAUCUUUCUCUUUACUCACCAACUCUUUCUACUCUUUUGUGGUAGAACUUUUUGUCACCAUUUUAUUAGCUCAGAUUGUGAGCAAAGACACAUUAAAAUGGAUAGAGAAGUUGAUGUCACAAUUGCUAAACUGAUUAAAAUAACUGAAUAAUGAUUUUAAUUUACUCAUUUUGGUUAAACCAAAAAUACUUGUCUCUACCAUCAAAAAAAUGCAAAAGUCCAUGUUUUGGAGCAUGUUAAUGAAAUAUAUAAUUUUUAAAAUAAACAACAUCAACAGUUGUCAAAAAUUAAAGCGAUAAAAAUAUAGAUUUCAUCUCUUGGCAGGGUAAAGUCUUCAUGUUAGUUGAAUAGUAAAUGUUACUCUUUCAAAUUAAGAUGUCUCUACCAAAUGGGGCAUUUAAUAAGGACUGACAAUUUGGAUCCAAAUUUAUUGUUCUGUGACCAUAUUAAAUUGAGAAAUACAGAAGUGUACACAUAUUAAAAAUGUACACUACAUGAUUCCCAAUUUAAGAAAAACUAAAGACAAACUAUAAAAUACAUAGAUCAACCACAUGUUUUAUUCAUAUUACUUAGCAUACUUCAAAUGAAGUUUCAAAACUCUACAUUGUUUGUGUCAUGUUAAUAAACCAUACUAUCUUGAAUAAUCAUGAAAUAAAAUUAAUUGAAAUAAUUCAACUAGUAUGAUAAGUGUGUAUUUAAUUAAGUCAAUUGCAAGCAUAAUAAAGAAAAACAAUAAAAAAUCACAAUUUUUAUUCAGUUAGAGGUUGUAGUAUUUGUCCCCAAAGGAAAAUUAAUCUAUUCAUAGUUGCCUUAAUAUUGGGGAUAGUAUUCUCAAACAUUUUUAGGUGUACAAACUAUGCCUUUUUGUUUAUCUAAUUUAAAGUUAUCAAAUUUACAGCAAAUGUACUUUGGAAUAUAAACUCUCCUUCAAUAAUACAAUCCAAAAAACAAAGACUUAUUUCUGAAAUAUACUAUUAGAAAUAAGGCAUAUUGGCAGGGCACGGUGGCUCACGCCUUAAUCCCAGCACUUUGGGAGGCCAAGGCCGGCAGAUCACAAGGUCAGGAGAUUGAGACCAUCCUGAGUAACACGGUGAAACCCCGUCUGUACAAAAAAUACAAAAAAUUAGCUGGGUGUGGUGGCAUGCGCCUAUAGUCCCAGCUACUCGGGAGGCUGAAGCAAGACAAUCACUUGAACCUGGUAGGCGAAGGUUGGAGUGAGCCGAGAUCGCGCCCCUGCACUCCAGCCUGGGAGAGACAGAGAGAGACUUCCAGUCUUAAAAAAAAAAAAAAGUCGUAUUUAAAAAACAAGGAGUAACUGAAAAAGUAACUAUAUAACUAAUAUAUUACUCUCUGAACUAUGUAACAAAAAUAUUUCUCUACAAAAUACUAUUAUUCCUAUAAUCCAUUUAUUUCUAUAUACCAUGUUUGUGUCACUAUAGGUUGGUAUGUACCCAAUUGUGACUAAACCAAAAGAAACAAAUCUGGAAACUGAAGUAUCAAUACGUGAAAAGCGUUCUUUUGGUAUUGGGAGUGCCAGUUGUCUUUGUUUCAUGAACUACUUCUCCGUAAUAGCAUGCAGCCAUCUUCAAGAGGUGAGAAUUUCACUUAGCGACUUAAACAGAAGUGUUAUCUCAAGAUAAUAUAAUAUCUGGAGGUAAAACAGCAUCCCCAGGAUAAACAGGAAUACUACACUCUUCCUUAAAUAACAAAAACUGCGGCUGGGCGUGGUGGCUCACACUUGUAAUCCCAGCACUUUGGGAGGCCGAGGUGGGCGGAUCACGAGGUCAGGAGAUGGAGACCAUCUUGGCUAACACGGUGAAACCCCGUCUCUACUAAAAAUACAAAAAAUUACACAGGCGCGGUGGCGGGCGCCUAUAGUCCCAGCUACCCGGGAGGCUGAGGCGGGAGAAUGGCGCGAACCUGGGAGGCGGAGCUUGCAGUGAGCCAAGAUCGCGCCACUGCACUCCAGCCUGGGCGACAGAGCAAAACUUCGUCUCAAAAAAAAAAAAAAAAAAAAAACUGGAAAAUUUGUUCUAAACAGCUUCAUGGGAAGAGAUAAUGAGCUAUGCAGCUCAACAUAAUUCAACAAAUAUUUGUUGAGUAUCUAUACUAGAACCUGUUCCAGAUGUUUGAAAUACUUCAGUGAACAUACCAUUUUUUAUAGAAAAAAGACCACUUUCUUUACCUUUGUGGAGCUUGCAUUCUAUCAGUGGGAGACAUACACUCCACCAUUGUUACACUAAGUAAGUAUAAUAUUUAGCCAAUUCUUAUAAAUUGUAUGUUACCUCAGCAUCCAUUUUGAAAAUAGGUUUAACUUGCACAUACCAGAAGCUUGGCUUAGUGACCCUCAAAGGAGUUUUCACUUCCUCCAAAGUCCUAUAUGUGGUCGCCUCCGAUAUCUGCCGUAUACAACUGUCUCCUGGUGACCACCUCCCUGUGAGACAGCAGAUACAACCUACCCCUCUGGCCUUCUCACCUCUCGUGGACUGUGUAGAUGCUGCAGUGGCCCCUGCUCAGUUACAGUGUGACUAUUGGACUUGUUCCUGCUUGCUAUAAGCCCACUGUAUUAGUCCAUUCUCACGCUGCUAAUAAAAACGUACCUGAAACUGCCUAAUUUAUACAGAAAAGAGGUUUAAUUGACUCACAGUUUUGCAUGGCUGGGGAGGCCUCGGGAAACUUACAAUCAUGGCGGAAGGGGAAGCAAACACAUCCGUCUUUACAUGGUGGGAGGAGAGAGAAGAAUGAGAACUGAGUGAAGAAGGAGGCCCCUUAAAACCAUCAGAUCUCCUGAGAAUGAACUCACCAUCAGGGGAAUAGCAUGGGGGGGAAAGGCUGCCAUGAUUCAAUUACCUCUCACUGGGUCCCUCCCACUAUGUGUGAGGAUUAGGGGAACUACAAUUCAAGAUGAUAUUUGUAAGGCCGAGCAUGGUGGCUCACGGCUGUAACCCCAGCGCUUUGAAAGGCCAAGGCAGACGGAUCUUCUGAGGUCAGGAGUUCAAGACCAGCCUGGCCAACAUGGCAAAAACCCAUCUCUACUAAAAAUACAAAAAUUAGCCAGGUUUGUUGGUGGACGCUUGUAAUUCCAGCUACUUCGGCGGCUGAGGCAGGAGAAUCGCUUGAAUCCGGGAGGGAGAAGUUGCAGUGAGCCAAAUGGUGCCACUGUACUCCAGCCUGGGUGACAGAGCAAGACUCCAUCUGAAAAAAAAGAAAAAAAAGAAAAAAUGAUAUUUGGGUAGGGACAGUGACAAACUAUAUCACCCACCAAUUAAAACUUCCCUUGGAAACCUGCUUAGAUAAUGCCCUUAGCCCCCAAAAAAGGCUUCAACUCACAGGUCUUUCUGCCUUUCUUACUCUCUACCUGAUGGUUGAAUGUGUGUGCUAUAUGGCUUCCCAUUUCCUAUUGUCCCUGCAAGACUUGCCCUUUUUUCUCUGGAUCUGUAAGUAAUAAACUGCUUCUGUUAUUUCAUGUGUUUUCUUGAGUUGCCUCCUCUGUGGCUCACCUGAGCAACACACCAAAACCUAUCUUCUUUCCUAGUCAGAGUGCUCCUAGAGAGUGGCUAUGGUAGAAAUAAACUGGACACAAGUCAGACAAGAACCACGAAAAUGUCUGCCCAUAUAAAUGAGUUUCCUGUGAAAGGGACCAGUGAUCACAAAUUGGAUACUUAAAUAUUAGAAUGUAUACAGGGAUAAAGAAGCAUUCUGUGAAAGGCACAUUGUCAUAGGUACAACCAAAUACAAAUCCUCUGGAGCCCCAUCAGGGCAUGGCCAGAGUUGAUAGCUAAUCUCCUAAAAGAGAUCUUGAGACACACACAGGAAAAAAGCACUUUGGCAAAAUACAAUCAUAGCAAGAUUAUGUUAUGUAUAGGCAUUGGAAGUAUGGAUUAUGAUUUUAAAAGUGAGACUGUGGUAGGCCUCAGUAAGAAGAGCACAUGUGAGCUAGUGAGUAGAGGUAAAAGCAUUUGUUAUAAAGAUAUCUGGGGAGACAACCAGUACAAAUGCCGUAAAGUGAAAGUGUGGCUGGCAUGUUCCAGGAAUUUCAAGAAAUACUCCUCCCUCCGUGCCCUCUGUGAUAUGAAGGCCAUGAGUUAUCGGGAGAGCAGAAGAUGAGGUUAGAGAAGAAUUAGAGGCCCAACCACACAGAGGGACUUGUACCAAUGUAAGGAUAUUGUGUUGUUACUUUUAGUUACAUGGAAACCUAUAAGCAGGAUUUUGAGCAGAUAAGUGACAUGAUUUCACAUAUGAUUAAAGAAUCACUCCAGCUGCUCUGCUACAAAUAGACAGCAUGGGGGCAAAGAUAGAGCACAGAGACAGUGAGGAAGCCACUGCAGAAGUCUAGACUAGUAAUGAUAGAGGCUUGGGUUAGAAUGAUGAGUAGUGAGAUAUCAAUGAGAUAGUUAGAAGUAGUCAGAGUCUGUUUACAUUUUAAAGGCAGAGACAGAAAUGUUUCUGAGUGUCUGAUGUGAAGGAAAAAUAUACUUAAGUAUAACAUCACAUGCCAUUUGUGUCUGAAGGCAUGAAAAGCUGAAAUUGUCAUCAACUGAAUUGGAAAAGGUGGUAGGUGAAGUAGAUUUUGGGAGAGAUAGGAAGGAUUCAGUAUUAGAUAUGUGGAAUUUGAAAUGUCUAUAAGACACUCUAGUUGAGAAGUUGAGUAAGUAGUUUGAUUAAUCUGUAUUUUCAAGAGAGAGGUCCGUAUUGGAGAUGGUAUUUGGAAUUCAUUGGCACAUAAGCCAUUUGAUUGAAUGAGAUAACCAAUGAGAUAACCACUGCAGUGGAGAAGUAGAGGAGAGAUUUGAGGAUUGGCUCUUGGAAGUCAAUAUUAUUGUGUAAGAUAUAAAAGAAGAAAAAGAAAGAAGACAAGAGUUAGGAAAGCAAAGAAGAAGAGUAAUAUCCUGGAGGCAAAAUGAGAAAAGUGUAUCAAGAAGGAGAUAAAGGUGGGCUGCAUUAUAUGGUUCUGAUGGGCAGUGUAAAAUCAAAUAUUAGAUUUAGCAAGGUAGAGGUCAAUGAUUACACCAAGAGCACUUUUGCUAGAGUGGGGAUAACUGUAUGAUCAGUGUAGCUUCAUGAUAGGAUAUGUAAAGGAAAUUUGGGAAUAGUGUAUCUACACAACUCUUUCAGGGAGGUUUACUGAAAAGGGAAACAGAGAAGUAGAUUGGUACUUAGUAAAGGAAAUAGGAUCAGGUCAAGAUAAAUUACAUUUUUAAAUGAGAGAAAUUUCAGUUCAUUAUUAUGCUGAUGACAAUGACCUGAUGGGAUUGUUAAUUUUAUGUAUCAACUUGGUGAGUGUAUUGUCCACAGUUGCUUGGUCAAAUACCAGUCUAGAGGCUGUUGUUAAGGUAUGUUUUAGGCGUGGUUAAUAUUUAAAUCAGUAAAUUUGUAUUAAAGCAGAUUACCCUCCGUAAGUGGGGUGGACCUUCUCCAAUCAGCUGAAGGCCUUAAGAGAAAAAAUCACUGAGGUUCCACUAAGGGAAAAUAAUUCUGACUUUAGAUUGGCCUUCAGACUGAAGACUCCAGCAUCAACUCUCCCCUGAUCUCCAGCCUGCUGCUCUUCAGCAUUCACACUUGCCAGUCCCCACAAUGGUGGGAGCCAAUAUGGGGGAUACUGGCAUUCAGUUUAACACCCUGCUCUACAGUGAUUAAGGAGCAGUUAGAGGAUGUGGUAUAGAUACCAUACAUGCAUAGAUUUAGUGACUGGAAUCUGUAAGUUUGCUUUUGGUGGUGGAAGCCACAAUUUCAUCAGCUGCAACUUAGGAAUAGGAAGCAUGGAGGUUUGGAGAGAGGAAAGGACGGCUAAUAAUUAAGAUUUAAUGUGCUAAGGAUAUUUAGUAUGGUUGCUAAAAUGCAUUAAGUUUCCACUUGAAGUUCACGUCAAAAAUCUUCAGUGAAACCUGUCAAUCUGGUUGUGUAUUUUUCUCCAUUCAUGUCAAACCCCAUGGGUGCAGAUAAAAAACAGCUGGAGAGUUAGAUUUAAUCAGAGUGUGGUUUUGUCAUUCAAGUAAAAAGAAACAAGAGAGACCAUGGGAAUCAAGUGUGUGAUCAUGGAUUUCAACUGGGUAAAAAAGGGGGCAAAGACUUUAGAGGAUAAAGAACAGUGAAAUAACAGAAUUAAAGGAUUUAUGAUUCUUGGGGUCUGGGUUAGAUAGUGAACAGUAAAUACAGGAAACCAGAUAAUGUUAUGUCUUUUCACAAAGGGACCGUAUUUUUUAAAAACAGAGUGUUCUUUUAAACCAGUACUCCUCAUGAAAUAAUGAGAAAGAAAGUCUUAAAAAGAAAUUUCUACAAAAAAAAAUUCUAUAGUGAUACAAGGAUUGCCACCAUGUCCAAUUGUAGGCCCUAGAAAACUAGUCUGAACCAUAUAAAUACUAUUUUUUAUUUGUACUACAAUGUAAGUAAUUCUGGUCCAGGUGUCCCAAUCAUGUAGACGGGCCAGAGGCACUGGAUCACGGAAAUAUGUGCCCACAUGUUUAGAGCAAAUUGCUUUGUUACUUGGCAGGAAUCAAUAAGGAAAGCUGGAAUAUUCUUUUUUCUCACAGCUAUGUCAUUUCUAUAUUGCCUGACCUAAAGGAAAAGAAAAAAAAGGGCCAAUGUCUUCAUUACAAGAUAGACUCCUGAGAAUGCUUAUUCCAGCAAAGAAGAAGAUCUUCCUAAAAAACAAGAUUAUAAGUCACAGUCUGUAAGAAAAGAAAAAGUAAAACAAGAUAGACUCCUGAGAACACUAAUUCCAGCAAAGAAGAAGAAGAUCUUCCUAAAAAACAAGGAUUACUCAAAGUUAUUGAGAAGAAAUACAGGUUCUGGUGGACAAUUUCCAGUCUGGAGUCUGCAUUUGGAGAGAUUCUACAGCACAUGCAUGAAUGGUGUGCUGCCUAUUCAUUUAAGAAACUGAUGGUUUUACGACUAGUAGCAUGGUGUAUUUAACAAACACUGGCCUAGGACUCAUAAACAGAGAUGACUACAGGUUGAUGAUCUAAUAAAUAUUCUAGUCAUCACUGCCUGGGCUAAAGAGGAGGAGGUGGUGUCCCAAGGGCAUUUAUAUCUUUGCUCUGUAUUUGGAGGAGAAUGGAGAGUUCCAAAUGAUCAGAGCUUGCACAUUACUAGAUCCCCUUUCUAGGGAAAAUGCUGCGAUCAAUUGAAGUUGUCAUCCUCAUGAAGCUCAUACUGUUUUGCCUGAAAAAUAAAUGUAAAUGCACAUUCUUGGUCUUAAAAUACAUAGAAACAAUACUUUUUUCCCUGCUACUAGCUUUGUAAGAUAAAUAGGGUUCAUGUUUAACAUAUAUACUCAAUACUUGGGCAAUUUGUCUUCAUCUAAUGAAUUAUUAUUUACCAUUUUUAAAUUAUCUGCUCAGAUUACAAGAUUCUUUUUAACAAUAACCAAAUUUUAAUUAGUAAAACUUUUGGUCACUUUAUAUUUUCUGAUGUGCAUAUUACAAUAAAAU